rnacentral:rRNA from 1 species
UACAGAGGCCUCAAGCGUUGUUCGGAUUCAUUGGGCGUAAAGGGUGCGUAGGUGGCGUCGUAAGUCAGGUGUGAAAUUUCGGAGCUUAACUCCGAAACUGCAUUUGAUACUGCGGUGCUUGAGGACUGGAGAGGAGACUGGAAUUUACGGUGUAGCAGUGAAAUGCGUAGAGAUCGUAAGGAAGACCAGUGGCGAAGGCGGGUCUCUGGACAGUUCCUGACACUGAGGCACGAAGGCCAGGGGAGCAAACGGG